CCUACGGGUGGCAGCAGUAGGGAAUAUUGCUCAAUGGGGGAAACCCUGAAGCAGCCACGCAGCGUGGAGGAUGAAGGUUUUCGGAUUGUAAACUCCUUUUUUUAGAGAAGUUAAUGACGGUAUCUAACGAAUAAGCACCGGAUAACUCCGGGCCAGCAGCCGCGGUAAUACGGAGGGUGCAAGCGUUACUCGGAAUCACUGGGCGUAAAGCGCGCGUAGGCGGGUUAGCAAGUCAGAUGUGAAAUCCUAUGGCUUAACCAUAGAACUGCAUUUGAAACUGUUAUUCUAGAGUAUGGGAGAGGUAGGUGGAAGUCGUGGUGUAGGGGUAAAAUGCGUAGAGAUCAAGAGGAAUACGCAUUGCGAAGGCGACCUGCUAGAACAUAACUGACGUUGAUGCGCGAAAGCGUGGGGAGCAAACAGGAUUAGAUACCCCGGUAGUC
rnacentral:rRNA from 1 species